AUCGUCGUCGUCGUCGUCGUUUCUGUGCAGGUCCACGGCGGAGACGUCCUCCCACUUCCUCGUGAUCGCGUGGAACUUGAACGAAGGGAAGCCGAGCUCGCGGGCGCAUUUCGUGAGCCGGCGCCCGAUUCUCUCGACCUGCUCGCCUGGGUAGUGCGCAGGCCUGGGAUCGGUUAUGGCGGUGAACUUCACCACCGGCAGGCCUGCUUGCUGCUUACUACUCGACGUGGACAGCAAGCGGAGCAAGCCCGCCCACUGGAACCCGUAGCGCGUGCCGUAGUCGACGAUGUGCAGGCUGCUCUUAUUGCCCGCCAUGGCCUGCACGAUGGUCAUCGCGGAGAAAAUGAAGGUGACGUUGAGGAAGCAGCAGGCCCUGGUGUAGAGGCUGUAGGCCUUGAGGAAGUCCACAGCCGACGACGGGUGGUGCGCCGACACCGACAUGCGCAGCCGCCAGAUCCAGCUCCCUGUGCCGGCUAUGCGCGCCUCUAUCCCCCUGGCGAAGCAGUGAGCCAUCCGCUGGGCGGCGUCCCCCGUCGCCGACGCGUGCUGCUUGACCUGCGCCAGCACGUUGCGCGCCGCCACGUGGUCGCCGUCUGCCAGCGCCUUCACGCAGGAGGUCAGCAGCGCGCCUAUGUCGACCACAUUGCUGCCCCUCGCGGAUCUGCCGGUCCUCCGGUUCCUCUUGUCAUGCGCGCCGCCGCCGCCGCCGCCGCUGUUGUCCACGGCGACGCGCUCCAUGCUCUUGAUGCAUGUCUCGUAGGCGCGCGACAUCAUUUCGUCGAACAUCUCGCUGCCACGUUUCUCUUCGGGUUCCUCUUCCUUGAACGUCAUCGUCGGCCGGCCCUUGGCGCCGCCCUUGUAGGCCGAGCUGAGCGCGCUUUGUUCGUCGUCGCCAUGGCCCAGGCCUGCUUGUUGCAAGGAACCGUUGGGCCGCUGCCGGCGGCACCCCUCCAUGUUGCUGGUGGUGUUGGUGCCAAGGGAAGAAGGGGAGGAGAGGAUCUGAGCAAACGGCUGCU
rnacentral:misc_RNA from 1 species